ensembl:lncRNA
CAAGAACGGAAAAUAAACUCUGUAAUUAGCCAGCGCUUUAGAUUUAAUUUGACUGGUGUUGAGCUGUAUUCCCAUGUUUCCCACAGCGGCACGGAGUGUUAAUUGAGACAAACACCUGUAAUCAUUGCCAUGGAGCGGCUUGCUUCCCUUGAAAUAAAGGACUUGACCUUGAAUCAAUGAGAUAUUUUAAUCCUUUUAUAAAUGGUAAAUAAAGAGGGUGGUAUCAAAAAGUAUGUAAGAGACUUUACUUUUUCGCCUGAAAUAAAACACAGAUACUGUUACAUCACAUUGGCCCACAUGUUUAAUGUGGGAUGCAAAUGUCUAAACUGUCAGAUAAAACACACCGUACGAAUGUUUCACACAGAUGACCACCGCACUGACCUCUAAAUACCUAGUUGGACACAUGAUUCAACCAAAAGGACUUGAUCUUAACACAAUUUUAAUUUUAAAGUUCAUAAUGAUCAUCUGGAUUAGGAAGACAUCCACACGGUCACCUAUACUCACUGUGUAAAAGCAUGUCAAUUAUUUAUUUUUUACGCACAAAAUCAUAUGUCAGGUAAAGAUUCUUUAUAAAUAAUACUGUUUUACUGAGUCCUUUAUGGUUGAGUAAAUAUUGAAAUAGAUUUUUUUUCAUUCUAGUCACAAAGUUCUGUGUUGUUUUUCACUUUCAGUGAGAGACAACACGUAAGGAGAAGUCUACUCUGUCUGUUCACGCCUGCACAUUUCAAAACCCCUACAGACUUUCUGUCUUUGAUUAAGCUGCCAAGAGGCUGAACGCAAACUAUUGGGUAAUGCCUGCAGGGAGAGCAGAAGAGCGAUACGACGAUACGUCUUCUUCUCUCUCAAGUCUUAAGGCUUCUCAAUGUUUUUCUUUCUGCCUUUUAAUUUCCCAUUCAAUAUCUUAGAAAUGAAUAUCAGUGUUUCUACCCUCACCUCAUACCAAGGCAGCUUUUUGGAUCCCAGCAGCUGCUUUGGAUGUUAACAAAUAUAAGCUUAGUUUUAUAUUGUAGAUCCAGCUGAAUUUUGUUGGAUUUCUCACGUGUUUGCGGUAUGCUGGUAAUGAGCAAAGCGUGAUCCAAUUAUCGGUGCAGCAAUGUAAACAGCUAUGUUGGCAGGAAGAAGACAGCACUCAAAAUGCCUCUCUCUGUCUAACACAAACACACACAGAUAAACACCGUACAGCAUGGCAGCACUGCAACACUACACAGUGUAUCUUAUUUACGCUUUUAAUGAAUCUUAGUGAGUUUAGUCAGUUUUGGUACCUGCUGUUUGUUUUCUUUGUUCCAAAUUAGUAGAUAGUGUAUUGCAAUAGUGUUGAACCUGGACCAUGGGUCAGUUUAAUUGCACACUUUGGCAUCUGUAAGCAAAAUACAUUUUGCACGCGUUGAUUACGUGCAAUGACAUUUUGAGGUGACAGGAGUUUUUGAUAGGAAUUAAGUUGGUAAAACAAGGGCAUGGCCCUUUUUACACCAAAAAACUGACUAAAUGAUGCAUGUAGGCACUAGCGCAGAGUUUGCAUCAUUGCUUUUGCAUUCAUUCUCUGACCGGUGUUCAUUAGUACAACAUUUAGAAAUGUGAAUCGAGGCUGAAUCUGUGUGCUACUGUGUUUUAGCAGGAGAGGAGAUGUGCUCUGAUGAGCACCUAAAGCUAUUCAAACAUUUUUAUCUAAAUUGACAGAAACAUUUAAACAAGGAUAGGCAGAUGAAUAUUUUCACAGAUGAGCAACUGACUAAACAGUGAUUUUGUUUUUCUCUGAUUCAUGGACAUGAAUGAACUGUCAGCUGGCCAAAAGGAGUGCGAGUUAUCCAGCACAGUGACACACAUUGGGCUUGAAUUCAGCCCAUUGGUUCCAGUUAUUCAACACUAAAGCAGUAAGUAAGUAAAACCUUGAAAUGAGAAAUGAUGGUUAGUUGGAUGCCUGCUUAUAAGAAGACCCAUGUAGAAAGGUCAUAUAUCUUGUCCUAAUAUACAUAUAUUCAAUGACUUAUUAAUGUCGGGCUUUUAGUUGCUGAAAUAUACCCAGUCUUUUCACAUACCACUGAGAAUCGUGCAAAUCAAAUGUUUUCUUGAACAACGAAUCCCUGUAUUCUUCCGCGCUUAAAGAAAAACACUGAGUGCAAGUCUGUAGUCUGAUUAAAGACUGAACAAAUGACAUCUAACCUUCAAAAGCACUGUUUUCUUAUCUUCAUGUAACUACAGUUUUAGGAUAACCAACAAAUGUUUUCAUUAUGCAUUUGGGGAUUUAUAUAAAAUGAUGAAAAGCAUUCUCACGUGUGUCAUGCUUCUCGAGGCCUAUUCACAGUUGCACCUGUAAAUAUUAAUCAAUAAGAACACGGAUAAAUUCCCACAGAAAUCUUGAUGAAAAAAAAAAGGAUUGGCUUAGUUAUUGACUGACAGUUUGAGUUUGUUCUGUAUAUUCUCCCAAUCUCACAAUAGCUCAAUGUUUCUUAUUAGUCUAGUUUUUGGUUUAAUACUAAAUUCAUGUUUUAAUUAAUAUGUAUAGACAAGCAAGCUAUUUCCAAGCAAACUACCGGUGAGGC